rnacentral:rRNA from 1 species
UGCGGAGGAUCCGAGCGUUAUCCGGAUUUAUUGGGUUUAAAGGGUGCGUAGGCGGUUUGAUAAGUUAGAGGUGAAAUGUCGGGGCUCAACCCCGAAACUGCCUCUAAUACUGUUGGACCAGAGAAUAGUUGCGGUAGGCGGAAUGUAUGGUGUAGCGGUGAAAUGCUUAGAGAUCAUACAGAACACCGAUUGCGAAGGCAGCUUACCAAACUAUAUCUGACGUUGAGGCACGAAAGCGUGGGUAGCAAGCAGG